rnacentral:misc_RNA from 3 species
AAGUCGUAACAAGGUUUCCGUAGGUGAACCUGCGGAAGGAUCAUUACUGAAUUGUCAAACGGGUUGUUGCUGGCCCUCAUAGGGGGCAUGUGCACGCUCUGUUUACACAUCCACUCACACCUGUGCACCCUCUGUAGUUCUAUGGUCUGGGGGACCCUGUCUUCCUUCUGUGGUUCUACGUCUUUACACACACACUGUAAUAAAGUUUUAUGGAAUGUACAUCGCGUCUAACGCAAUACAAUACAACUUUCAGCAACGGAUCUCUUGGCUCUC